AGUGAACGCUGGCGGUAGGCCUAACACAUGCAAGUCGAACGGCAGCACAGUAAGAGCUUGCUCUUACGGGUGGCGAGUGGCGGACGGGUGAGGAAUACAUCGGAAUCUACUUUUUCGUGGGGGAUCACGUAGGGAAACUUACGCUAAUACCGCAUACGACCUACGGGUGAAAGCAGGGGAUCUUCGGACCUUGCGCGAUUGAAUGAGCCGAUGUCGGAUUAGCUAGUUGGCGGGGUAAAGGCCCACCAAGGCGACGAUCCGUAGCUGGUCUGAGAGGAUGAUCAGCCACACUGGAACUGAGACACGGGCCAGACUCCUACGGGAGGCAGCAGUGGGGAAUAUUGGACAAUGGGCGCAAGCCUGAUCCAGCCAUACCGCGUGGGUGAAGAAGGCCUUCGGGUUGUAAAGCCCUUUUGUUGGGAAAGAAAAGCAGCAGGUUAAUACCCCGCUGUUCUGACGGUACCCAAAGAAUAAGCACCGGCUAACUUCGUG
rnacentral:rRNA from 1 species